GACGAACGCUGGCGGCGUGCUUAACACAUGCAAGUCGAACGGUGAAGCGCCUUCUUUUUUGGUGGGUGUGGAUGAGUGGCGAACGGGUGAGUAACACGUGAGUAACCUGCCCCCUUCUUCUGGAUAACCGCAUGAAAGUGUGGCUAAUACGGGAUAUUCUGGGUCUGUCGCAUGAUGGGUCUGGGAAAGAUAUUGUUUCGGUGGGGGAUGGGCUCGCGGCCUAUCAGCUUGUUGGUGGGGUGAUGGCCUACCAAGGCGGUGACGGGUAGCCGGCCUGAGAGGGUGGACGGUCACACUGGGACGGAGACACGGCCCAGACUCCUACGGGAGGCAGCAGUGGGGAAUAUUGCACAAUGGGCGCAAGCCUGAUGCAGCGACGCCGCGUGAGGGAUGGAGGCCUUCGGGUUGUGAACCUCUUUCGCCAGUGAAGCAGGCCUGCCUCGUUUGUGGGUGGGUUGACGGUAGCUGGAUAAGAAGCGCCGGCUAACUACGUG
rnacentral:rRNA from 1 species